rnacentral:misc_RNA from 1 species
GAUGAAGAACGUAGCGAAAUGCGAUAAGUAAUGUGAAUUGCAGAAUUCAGUGAAUCAUCGAAUCUUUGAACGCACAUUGCGCCCCCUGGUAUUCCGGGGGGCAUACCUGUCCGAGCGUCAUUACAACCCUCAAGCUCAGCUUGGUGUUGGGCCCCGCCGCCCCGGCGGGCCCUAAAGUCAGUGGCGGUGCCGUCCGGCUCCGAGCGUAGUAAUUCUUCUCGCUCUGGAGGUCCGGUCGUGUGCUCGCCAGCAACCCCCAAUUUUUUUCAGGUUGACCUCGGAUCAGGUAGGGAUACCCGCUGAACUUAAGCAUAUCAAUAAGCGGAGGA